rnacentral:rRNA from 1 species
UACGUAGGGUGCAGGCGUUAAUCGGAAUUACUGGGCGUAAAGCGUGCGCAGGCGGUCUACUAAGACAGGUGUGAAAUCCCCGGGCUUAACCUGGGAACUGCGCUUGUAACUGGUAGGCUUGAGUGUGGCAGAGGGGGGUGGAAUUCCAGGUGUAGCAGUGAAAUGCGUAGAUAUCUGGAGGAACACCGGUGGCGAAGGCGGCAUCCUGGACCGACACUGACACUGAGGAGCGAAAGCCAGGGGAGCAAACGGG